ensembl:lncRNA
GUUGUAGUAUCAGGAUACCAGCCAGGUUGUAGUAUCAGGAUACCAGCCAGGUUGUAGUAUCAGGAUACCAGCCAGGUUGUAGUAUCAGGGUACCAGCCAGGUUGUAGUAUAGGGGUACCAGCCAGGUUGUAGUAUCAGGGUACCAGCCAGGUUGUAGUAUCGGGAUACCAGCCAGGUACCUUCCUCUACCCACCCUCCUCCAGGUCCGCGUGACCCCGAGCCACAUUCUCAGCCUCUGAUGACCCGGAAGUGGUCCGUUUCAGUUCCUGUAAAACCAUGAAGUGAUUUUCAUCCCAGUUGCCCAGCAGCUUGUGUGAGUCUUUCCCAAGGCUGAGAGUCUUUCCCAAGGCUGAGAGUCUUUCCCAAGGCUGAGAGUCUUUCCCAAGGCUGUGAGUCUUUCCCAAGGCUGAGAGUCUUUCCCAAGGCUGAGAGUCUUUCCCAAGGCUGAGAGUCUUUCCCAAGGCUGAGAGUCUUUCCCAAGGCUGAGAGUCUUUCCCAAGGCUGUGAGUCUUUUCCCAAGGCUUCUGUAAAAGGAACAGCUUUAAAGACAAAAAGACAAAGAAAAAAUACUUGGGUCUUUUUUAGCAUUGUGUGGGAGUGUGUUGUUUCUGAGUUGGUUGGUGUAUCCAUUGGGAGUGUGUGAUGUUUAUGCUCUACAGAAGAGCUUUUCUGUCAGCAGACGUUCUCACUCACCUAACCUUUUAGUUUGUUGUUUUUAAUCCUUUCAAAAUAUUAUCAUAAGAUUCAACUUUAGUUUUAGGUCAUUGUAUAUUUUGUGUGUGUUGUUUUCCUUUGUUUUUAUCACCACCUCUGGGUAACUCGUUCAGCUUCUAUAAAUUAUAUAUCUAUGUUCGUUCUAAGUUCAGAACUUUGUGCUGAUCUGUUUCUUUAUGAGUGGCUAAGACCCGGGCUGCGUCCCAAAAUGGUCAAAAGUUGUGUACUAAGCCUAUAAGGAACAGGGUGCUAAUAGGGUGCCAAUAGGCUGCCAAUAGGGUGCCAACAGGGUGCCCUAUACUGAUCAGACAAUUAACAAUGGAAUUAGCUUUUGUAGCACCACAGUGUGCACACGUUAACAAGCGGGUAUGACACGUGUGUGUUUACCACAAACGUGCGUGUCAGAGUACACACUAUUCUGCGUCAGACAGACGGGGGAGUCUUUUCACAACCGUAAAAUGUCCCACACAAUAUAAACAAAGAUGACAUCAGUGAACGACGUACCAGACGUAGUAAUAUGUUUGAUCAGCAUGCUAUAAUGAUUUACUAUUCAUGCUGACGUUAAACGUGUUACCAGUUCUAAUCUGUCCUCCAGACGGCACAAGGUAGUUGGUUUAUUAUCCGUCUAUGACAGUAACACACACAGUUGAGUAAUUUCACAAAGCAUUAAACAUCAGUCUUGUAAGCUCAGGUCUAUGAACAACUAUAGAUAGAUUUGGUAUAAAUGAGUUGAUACUCUCAAUCAUUUUGAUCUUUAUCUUUGUGUGUUGUGUAUUUGCCAAAACCAUAGCUAGUUAACUUGUUGAUCCCACUUGUUUAGGAAUCUUUGAGUGGGUCCCAAUGAUCUCUCCUUUCUCCCAAAGUGUGCACUUGUUCACUUUUUGUGGGAGGGAUUGGUGAUCGAGUGCGCACUUCAGGAGGAAGGAGAGAUUCCCGGGACGCUCCCUCCGCCUACUCUCACUGUUCUGUCUAUAUGCUGGAGCCGACCCCAGGCCUGCAUGUACUAUCCCAUCACAAGGCUUUUUCAUUAUUUUCCAUGAGUUGUUUGAUUAAAUGAUUUGUUUUGAUUCAAA